rnacentral:rRNA from 1 species
CGUGGGUAACCUGCCCAAGAGAUCGGGAUAACACCUGGAAACAGAUGCUAAUACCGGAUAAUAACAGAUGAUGCCUAUCAACUGUUUAAAAGAUGGUUCUGCUAUCACUCUUGGAUGGACCUGCGGUGCAUUAGCUAGUUGGUAGGGUAACGGCCUACCAAGGCGAUGAUGCAUAGCCGAGUUGAGGGACUGAUCGGCCACAUUGGGACUGAGACACGGCCCAAACUCCUACGGGAGGCAGCAGC